CCGGCGCCUCAAGUGGUAGUCGAUUUUAUUGGGCCUAAAACGUCCGUCGCCUGUUUGGUACAUUCGUGGGUAAAUCAACCAGCUCAACUGGUUGAAUUCUGCGAGCACGGCCAGACUUGGGACCGGGAGAGGUGUGGGGUACGCUCAGGGUAGGGGUAAAAUCCUGUCAUCCUGAGCGGACCACCUGUUGCGAAGGCUCCACACUAGAACGGAUCCGACGGUCAGGGACGAAGCCUAGGGGCACGAACCGGAUUAGAUACCCGGGUAGUCCUAGGUGUAAACGCUGUGGACUUGGUGUUGGGAAGGUUCCGAGCCUUCUCAGUGCCGAAGCGAAGGUGAUAAGUCCACUGCCUGGGGAGUACGGUCGCAAGGCUGAAACUUAAAGGAAUUGGCGGGGGAG
rnacentral:rRNA from 1 species